rnacentral:misc_RNA from 1 species
UCACCCCUCAAGCCUCGGUUUGAUGUUGGGCCUUUAGUUGUAGACUCUCUGCAACUGGCCUCAAAGAUAGUGACGGCGUCCCAGAAGGAACCGGUACGAGGAGCUUUCUAAUCAAGCAUGUACGCGGGAAGAUUCUGCGGGCGGCGGUCUUUUACCCAUCUACUCUUAACGGAGUAUUUCAAG